rnacentral:rRNA from 1 species
UACGAAGGGGCUAGCGUUGCUCGGAAUUACUGGGCGUAAAGCGCACGUAGGCGGCUUCUAAGUCGGGGUGAAUCCUGGAGCUCAACUCCAGAACUGCCUUCGAUACUGGAAAGCUCGAGUCCGGGAGAGGUGAGUGGAACUGCGAGUGUAGAGGUGAAAUUCGUAGAUAUUCGGCAAGAACACCAGUGGCGAAGGCGGCUCACUGGCCCGGUACUGACGCUGAGGUGCGAAAGCGUGGGAGCAAACAGG